UGAACCUGGGUCCUCUGGAAGAACAACCAAUGCUCUUAACUGCCUAGACAUCUCUCCACCCCACCCCAAAUCUUUUAAGGUAACCAUUAUUAAAAGUUUUUUUGUUUUGUUUUGUUGUUUUUUGUUUUGUUUUUUGUCUUUUUUCUUGGUUGUUGUUUUGCGACAGGGUUUCUCUGUGUAACAGUCCCAGUUGUCUUGGAACUCACUUUGUAGUACAGGCAGGCCUCGAACUCACAGAGAUCUGCCUGCCUCUGCCAUGUAUUUAAAAAAUCACUAAAAUAGUCUUUUGGUGUGUCUUUUUUGCUUUUAAGUGCUGAGCCUCUGGGUACUCUGAGGCAUGGGAUGGGAAUCGGCCUAAUGCAGCGUGAACUGUGUAGGAAGUUCAGAUGGCAAUGUGCCUAUGUGCUCAUCACAGAGGCCUCUGUCCAGCACAGCAGAAAGGACAGUGCCACCGAGCUGGAGAAGACUGCUUCACUUUGGCUGGACUGCUGAGACAGUGUUCCUCUUCAGAAAGGCGAGUGGGCCUCACCAGGCCUGGAGCACAGUGGUCUCACGUGGCAUUAUUGGUAGUUACUGAAAUGCUCCAGAAAAACCUGCCUGAGAAGAUGGAGAGUCUCAGAAGAGCCUUGAGAAGUGAGCACACAUCUGUGCCUGGCCGCUGGGCUGGGUCUCCCCAGGAGGGCAGUGACCAUGUGACCAUGGACCCCCUCA
rnacentral:lncRNA from 1 species